GACGAACGCUGGCGGCGUGCUUAACACAUGCAAGUCGAACGCUGAAGACCUGGCUUUUGUUGGGUUGGAUGAGUGGCGAACGGGUGAGUAACACGUGAGUAACCUGCCCCCUUCUUUGGGAUAACGCCCGGAAACGGGUGCUAAUACUGGAUAUUCACUGGCCUUCGCAUGGGGGUUGGUGGAAAGGUUUGUUCUGGUGGGGGAUGGGCUCGCGGCCUAUCAGCUUGUUGGUGGGGUGAUGGCCUACCAAGGCUUUGACGGGUGGCCGGCCUGAGAGGGUGACCGGUCACAUUGGGACUGAGAUACGGACCAGACUCCUACGGGAGGCAGAGAUUGGGAAUAUUGAACAAUGGGUCAAAGUCUGAUGCAGCGGCGCCGUGUGAGGAAUGGACGCCUUUUUGUUGUAAACCUCCCUCCCUCAUGGUAAGACCCGAAUGGGUGUCUGUGGGGGGGUUGCUGGGUUAA
rnacentral:rRNA from 1 species